rnacentral:rRNA from 1 species
UACAGAGGUCCCAAGCGUUGUUCGGAUUCACUGGGCGUAAAGGGUGCGUAGGCGGUCGGGUAAGUCUGACGUGAAAUCUUCAAGCUCAACUUGGAAACUGCGUCGGAUACUAUUCGGCUAGAGGAAUGGAGGGGAGACUGGAAUACUUGGUGUAGCAGUGAAAUGCGUAGAUAUCAAGUGGAACACCAGUGGCGAAGGCGAGUCCCUGGACAACUUCUGACGCUGAGGCACGAAAGCUAGGGGAGCAAACAGG